CCCCACACCCGCUCACACAGAGACGCUGCAGCGCAGUUACCCGAAAGCAGAAGUCCGGGCAUGGGGCCAGCCAUGGGGCUGCUGCUCUGUAGCCUCCUGCUGUUGGCUCCAGGGGGUCUGCGGCUCUCCUCCGGCCAGGUGCAGCUGGAGGGCUUGGUGGGUGAGUCUGUGUAUUUCCCUGCCCUGAGCCCCGUGGCCAGAGACAUCGUCCGUGUCCUGUGGUUUUCAGAAAGGCAGGGCACUCACAUCGCAGAGGCCAAACCCCAGGGCCAGGCAUUCAACGUCAAUUUCUUACCCAACUUCAGCAACCGGCUGGCGAUCCACGCCGGGAACCUCUCCCUGGAGAUCCGCCAUCUGCGGCUGGAAGACCAGGGGCCGUACCGCGCCGUUGUGGAUAUUGCCUCAGACCCUACCAAGCCCAGGGCCUUCUCCUAUGAGCUGUCAGUGCGAGAACGUGGGCAAGAGGGAGACAGGGGCAAAGGAGGAACCACGGACCCGCCAGGAGGCGGAGAACGGAGGACAUCGACGGGCCCCCCAGCAGAAGGAGCGCCCGUGACCACAGGCAGGAGGACAACGCUGGCAGGAGGGGAUGGGGGAGGGCAGGAGGGCGGUGAGAGCCAGGGAUCGUGCCACUGCACGCUGAAGGGUUAUGUCAUCGCGGCCGUCUAUGUGCCCCUCUGUGCUGUGGUGGCUAUCGUCCACGUGAAGACGAGGGGCUGACGGAAAAGCCGGGGUCCCUGGGUGACAGAAGAGACAGGGCAGCUGCUGGGGCAGGAAGGGCAGCCACCUGUCUGGGGCUAUCGCCUCUUUGUUCAUUCUCUGUAAAUACCCUCUCCAGUACCCCCCAGAAACUCCCUCCCAGUACACACACAUCCCUCUAGCACCCCCUAAAUACCCCCUCCAGUACCCCCCAGGUAUCGCCUCCAGCAUCCCCAGAAACCCCCUCCCAGUACACACACCCCUCCAGCACUCCUAAAUACCCCCUCCAGUACCCCUCCAGCUACCACCUCCAGCACCCCCAAAAUACCCCCUCUAGUACCCCUCAGGUACCACCUCCAGCACCCCCAAGAUACUCCCUCCCAGUACACACACACCCCUCUAGCACCCCCUAAAUACUCCCUCCAGUAUCCCCCCAGGUAUUUCCUCCAGUUCCCCCCACAUACCACCUCCAGCACCCCCAAGGUACCCCCUCCCUGUACACAUACCCCUCCAGCACCCCUAAAUACCACCUCAAGUACCCCCCAGGUACUGCCUCCAGUACCCCCCAGGUACCACCUCCAGCACCCUCAAGAUACCCCCUCCCAGUACACACACCUCUCCAGCACCCCUAAAUGCCACCUCCAAUACCCCCCAGGUACCGCCUCCAGCAUCCCCAGAAACCCCCUCCCACUACACACACCCUUCUAGCACCCCCUAAAUACCCCCUCCAGUACCCCCCCAAGUACCUCCUCCAGUACCUCCCAGAAACCCCCUCCUAGUACACAAACAACCUCUAGCACCCCCUAAAUACCCCCUCCAGUACCGCUCAGGUACCGUCUCCAGCAUCCCCAGAAACCCCCUCCCAGGACACACACAACCCUCUAGCAUCCCCUAAAUACCCCCUCCAGUACCCCCAGGUACCUCCUCCAGUUCCUCCCAGAUACAGCCUCCAGGUACCCCCUCCCAGUACACACACCCCUCCAGCACCUCCUAAAUAUCCCCUCAAAUACUACCUCCAGCACCUUUCCAGGUACCCGCUCAAGCACCCCCCAGGUACCUCCUCCCAGUACACACACACCCCUCCAGCACCCCCGAACUGUACCCUCCCCUCCAGCUCCCUCUCGCCUGCCCCCAGGAGUGCCCUCUGUUGGGAACCUGGCAGCCGCUAACCCUAGGGGCAAGGGGCUUGUUCAGAGAGCCCUGGGCCACUGUACUGGUGUUUGUACUGCAACAGCUCUAGCUCAUCGUGCCGGAUGCUGCACAGACACAUCGUGGAGAUGGUCCCUGCCCUGAAGCGUCCUCUGCCUGAAUAGACAAAGGGUCAUUAUUGCCAUGUCCGGGCUCCAUAGACAAAGGGCAGGAGGGGAAAUUGAGGCACGGGGAGGGGAUGGUCACCCAGCCGAUCACUGGCAGCGCCAGGAGUAGAAGUCAGGAGAGUGUUCUGGCCACUGGAGGCGCUCACUCGGUCCUGUAGUCUAUAGCUACCUCCCAUGAAGCCCAACAGGACUACUCCUUAUACACUUCUGGUCCAAGUCCACCCCUAUCUAAAAUGAUGGGGUCUAAGUUAGCUGUUACCACUCACAAAAGAGAUCGUGGAGUCAGUGUGGAUAGUUCUCUGAAAACAUCCACCCAAGGUGCAGUGGCAGUCAAAAAAGCAAACAGAAUGCUGGGAAUAAUUAAGAAAGGGAUAGAUAAUAAGACAGAAAAUCAAUUCAGUUCAAUUCCCUUUCAUUCCCAGGGAAGCAGUGAGAUCUGUAGGCCAGAGCGGGGGAGGAGGGGAGAGAUUUGAAAGUCCUGGAGUUUGCAUAAGCAGCUCCAUGUUCACCCCUGAGCGAGUCACCUCCCCAAUUUUCUGUGCCUCAGUUUCCCCUGCUGUCCAAUGGAUGCUAUGAUGUGUUUACCUGCCCUCCCAAGGGUGCUGAGCAGCUGGGCCAAUGAGCAUCCAUCAAGCACUGCAUGCUCAUCACAAUAAAAGCCCAGAAAAAGCACCAAGCAGGACUGAAUUUUGUUGUCUGUUGCAC
rnacentral:lncRNA from 1 species